GGGCCUCUGGGCCCACCUGCUGAGUCUGCUUUGGCUCCCAGUGUCAGAACUGGAAUGCUGGGAGUAACCCGGCUCCGUCUAGCCCCAGAGGAGCUGCCACCGAGGCCUGUCAGGCGUGGAGAGUUUUUUCCAACGACUGGCUUCGUAGGCCCCACUGGAGAGCGUUUUGGCAUUUGAGCCCCAGGUCCUGUGCAUCUUACGUCAGCCCCAGUGUUGAGGAUGCCAGGGGCCCUGUCCCUCUGAAGCCCCUUCUGCCUGCCCUGCAGCAGUUGCAGCUCCUGGGCCGGUUCUGCCAAGAGCAGGGGAUCCCGUUCCCGCCCAUCUCGCCCAGCCCCAAAGAGCAGCUCCAGCCUCGGGAGUGCCACACCUUCUCCCACCCCACCUGCCCUGGAGCCCCUGCGGUGCCGCACUUUCCUCUGGUCAGCGACUCCUUCCGGGAGUACUCGGCCCCUGGGAUCCGGCGGCCACCCGAGGAGGCGGCAGUUGGGGAGGUGAACCUGUCUUCAUCGGACUCUCCCUACCACUACACGAAGGUGACCUACAGCCAGGAGGACGUGGACAAGCUGCUGCACCUGACACAUUACAAUGUCUGCAACAACCAGGAGCAGCUGCUGGAGGCUCUGCACCAGGCAGUGCAGCGGAGGCGGCAGCGCAGGCCCCACUGAUGGCUGGGGCCCCUGCCACCCCUAACUAACUAACUCUCAUUCAUUCCCUGGCUGCUGAGUUGCAGGUGGGAACUGUCAUCACGCAGUGCUUCAGAGCCUCGGGCUCAGGUGGCACUGUCCCAGGGUCCAGGCUGAGGGCUGGGAGCUCCCUUGCGCCUCAGCAGUUUGCAGUGGGGUAAGGAGGCCAAGCCCAUUUGUGUAAUCACCCCAAACCCCCCGGCCUGUGCCUGUUUUCCCUUCUGCGCUACCUUGAGUAGUUGGAGCACUUGAUACAUUACAGACUCAUACAAAUGUGAGGCGCUGAGAAGGGCCAUGUCAUUCUAGGCUCUUGGCUGUACAUGGCAAGGGCUGGUACAGAGCUCGCUCAUCAGUGUUCUUCCUCCGAAGAGCACAUUCUCUGCACACAUCUGCGUCUACCUGUGCUCAGAGUCACCCCUUCCAAGCAAGGAGGCGGCCACAUGGGCCUGGGGUAGCCCUGGCCUUGCCCACCUGCUCUGCCGUAACACGUCUCCUCUUCAUCCAGACAGGAAUGCAGGGGGAGACCAGGCAAUGGCUGUUUCCUGCCACAUGGUAGGACCCAUCUAACCAGAAGGAACUGUCUAUUCCAGAAGCUGGGCCUGGGGAACUGGGUUGAAGGAGCCCUUUUGCCUGUAGCUGAGUCUCAUUCUGGUUCCUUAGAUGUGUCCUCGCUUGUGCCCCUGAAGUUUGGUGUUGCACUGGGGUUCACCUCAGGGAUCAGACCUGUUGGGAAAACGGAAUGAAUUUAGUAGGGUAUGGCCACCCCAGAAUCUUCUCCAAACAAACAAACACUGGUGCCCCUGCCCUCCCCUGGACCAGCCAGCCUCCUAGAA
rnacentral:lncRNA from 1 species